CUGGCGGCAGGCCUAACACAUGCAAGUCGAGCGCAGUCCUUCGGGACCGAGCGGCGGACGGGUUAGUAACGCGUGGGAACAUACCCUUUUCUACGGAAUAGCCUCGGGAAACUGAGAGUAAUACCGUAUAAGCCCUUCGGGGGAAAGAUUUAUCGGGAAAGGAUUGGCCCGCGUUAGAUUAGAUAGUUGGUGGGGUAAUGGCCUACCAAGUCUACGAUCUAUAGCUGGUUUUAGAGGAUGAUCAGCAACACUGGGACUGAGACACGGCCCAGACUCCUACGGGAGGCAGCAGUGGGGAAUCUUAGACAAUGGGCGCAAGCCUGAUCUAGCCAUGCCGCGUGUGUGAUGAAGGUCUUAGGAUCGUAAAGCACUUUCGCCAGGGAUGAUAAUGACAGUACCUGGUAAAGAAACCCCGGCUAACUCCGUGCCAGCAGCCGCGGUAAUACGGAGGGGGUUAGCGUUGUUCGGAAUUACUGGGCGUAAAGCGUACGUAGGCGGAUCAGAAAGUUAGGGGUGAAAUCCCGAGGCUCAACCUCGGAACUGCCUCUAAAACUCCUGGUCUUGAGUUCGAGAGAGGUGAGUGGAAUUCCAAGUGUAGAGGUGAAAUUCGUAGAUAUUUGGAGGAACACCAGUGGCGAAGGCGGCUCACUGGCUCGAUACUGACGCUGAGGUACGAAAGUGUGGGGAGCAAACAGGAUUAGAUACCCUGGUAGUCCACACCGUAAACGAUGAAUGCCAGUCGUCGGGCAGUAUACUGUUCGGUGACACACCUAACGGAUUAAGCAUCC
rnacentral:rRNA from 1 species